AGGCCAGGGGCUGGUGCUGGCCCAGAAUUCUAGGAUUUGGUUACAGUUUGGACACAAAUGGCAGCAGGAUCCUUGGAGAGAUAAAAAUCCUGAUGAAGACAUUUUCCCCAAGCCCACGAUUUUUCUUCCUUCAGCUGAUGAAGUAAAACUCCAUAAUACUGGAACAUAUCUUUGUCUUCUUGAGGACUUUUUCCCUGACGUUAUCACGAUAGAUUGGAAAGAAAAGAAUGGCAAAACAAUUCUGAAAUCCCAGCAGGGUGACACCAUGAAGACUAAGGACACAUACAUGAAAUACACGUGGCUGACCGUGCCUAAAAAGUCAAUGGAUAAAGAACACAAAUGUACCGUCAAACACGAGAAUAAUAAAGGAGGGGUUAAUCGAGAGAUACUGUUUCCUUCAAUAAACAAAGGUUUGGCGGAGGCCAGAAGAUCCGAAGUGGACCCCCAGAGGCAUUCAGAGACAAGGCGAAACACAAGGGUGGUCACUGUGAGCCCUUUGAGUUCACUGUCCUCCUCACCAGUUUCAAGGGCUGCAGAGCUCGCCACUAUUAACUACACAAAAGCUUCUCGGAAGGAUAAAAAUGACCCCCGGCAGGUGCAGCUCGCGAACACCUCUGCCUACUACACGUACGUCGUCCUCGUCGUCAAGAGCAUGGUCUACACCGUCAUCAUCGCCAUCUGUCUGCUUGGGAGACCAGCACUCUGUGACAAUGGGAAGAGUUUCUAACCCAUGGUGGCACCAAGGGUCCACUUUACUCCUUGACUAUUGUCACUAAAAGAGUCUGUUGAGGAUCUAGAGGGGCUUUCUCUCUGCAUUUGGGUUAUUUCAGUUCACAUGUUUCUUUUUCUAUGUGUCAUCAUUGCAGAACAGGUUUACAAACCACUAGGCAGACAGGAAAUGUCACUCUGCAUGGAGAACAAUUUCUACCAUGACUCAGGGGCGGGGCCGGGGGCACCCACGGGGGCGUCAGCACCGCUGUCUCCUUCAUGUCUACCAGCCCGUCAGCCACUCAGCACCCUCGCCUCUGAGUACAGCCGGCGUGCAGCUUCCAUAGCGGCCCCUGGGGCUCUGUAUCAAGAUAACUGCCUGGAGGCCUUUUAUUUUACAUUUCUGGAAGUCUUCCUCCUUGCUACCUGAACUUUGUGCUAUUUUUCAUAACAGACCUAAUAAAAGCAAUCACAAGUUUA